rnacentral:rRNA from 1 species
GACGAACGCUGGCGGCGCGCCUCAUACAUGCAAGUCGAACGAGAUCCAUGGGAGCUUGCUCCCGGAAGAUCGAGUGGCGAACGGGUGAGUAACACGUGAGAAACCUACCCCGGAGUGGGGAAUAACCCGAGGAAACUCGGGCUAAUACCGCAUACCUUCCGAUGACCGCAUGGUCGACGGAAGAAAGAAUUUCGCUCUGGGAGGGUCUCGCGGCCUAUCAGCUUGUUGGCGGGUAACGGCCCACCAAGGCAACGACGGGUAGCUGGUUUGAGAGAACGAUCAGCCACACUGGAACUGAGACACGGUCCAGACUUCUACGGAAGGCAGCAGUGGGGAAUAUUGCGCAAUGGGCGAAAGCCUGACGCAGCGACGCCGCGUGGGGGAGGAAGGCCCUAGGGUUGUAAACCCCUGUCAGACGGGACGAACCGUAUGUCGGUUAAUACCCGGCGUGCCUGACGGUACCGUCAGAGGAAGCUCCGGCUAACUCCGUG